AGAGUUUGAUCCUGGCUCAGGACGAACGCUGGCGGCGCGCCUAACACAUGCAAGUCGAACGAGCGAGAGAGAGCUUGCUUCCUCGAGCGAGUGGCGAACGGGUGAGUAACGCGUGAGGAACCUGCCUCAAAGAGGGGGACAACAGUUGGAAACGACUGCUAAUACCGCAUAAGCCCACGGGUCGGCAUCGACCAGAGGGAAAAGGAGCAAUCCGCUUUGAGAUGGCCUCGCGUCCGAUUAGCUAGUUGGUGAGGUAACGGCCCACCAAGGCGACGAUCGGUAGCCGGACUGAGAGGUUGAACGGCCACAUUGGGACUGAGACACGGCCCAGACUCCUACGGGAGGCAGCAGUGGGGAAUAUUGCACAAUGGGGGAAACCCUGAUGCAGCGACGCCGCGUGGAGGAAGAAGGUCUUCGGAUUGUAAACUCCUGUUGUUGAGGAAGAUAAUGACGGUACUCAACAAGGAAGUGACGGCUAACUACGUGCCAGCAGCCGCGGUAAAACGUAGGUCACAAGCGUUGUCCGGAAUUACUGGGUGUAAAGGGAGCGCAGGCGGGAAGACAAGUUGGAAGUGAAAUCCAUGGGCUCAACCCAUGAACUGCUUUCAAAACUGUUUUUCUUGAGUAGUGCAGAGGUAGGCGGAAUUCCCGGUGUAGCGGUGGAAUGCGUAGAUAUCGGGAGGAACACCAGUGGCGAAGGCGGCCUACUGGGCACCAACUGACGCUGAGGCUCGAAAGUGUGGGUAGCAAACAGGAUUAGAUACCCUGGUAGUCCACACCGUAAACGAUGAUUACUAGGUGUUGGAGGAUUGACCCCUUCAGUGCCGCAGUUAACACAAUAAGUAAUCCACCUGGGGAGUACGACCGCAAGGUUGAAACUCAAAGGAAUUGACGGGGGCCCGCACAAGCAGUGGAGUAU
rnacentral:rRNA from 1 species